AUACGGAGGAUCCGAGCGUUAUCCGGAUUUAUUGGGUUUAAAGGGAGCGUAGGCGGACGCUUAAGUCAGUUGUGAAAGUUUGCGGCUCAACCGUAAAAUUGCAGUUGAUACUGGGUGUCUUGAGUACAGUAGAGGCAGGCGGAAUUCGUGGUGUAGCGGUGAAAUGCUUAGAUAUCACGAAGAAAUCCGAUUGCGAAGGCAGCCUGCUGGACUGUAACUGACGCUGAUGCUCGAAAGUGUGGGUAUCAAACAGGAUUAGAUACCCUGGUAGUCCACACAGUAAACGAUGAAUACUCGCUGUUUGCGAUAUACAGUAAGCGGCCAAGCGAAAGCGUUAAGUAUUCCACCUGGGGAGUACGCCGGCAACGGUGAAACUCAAAGGAAUUGGCGGGG
rnacentral:rRNA from 1 species